ACUGCUCAGUAACACGUAGUCAACAUGCCCAGGGGACGUGGAUAACCUCGGGAAACUGAGGCUAAACCGCGACAGGCCAAGAUUUCUGGAAUGGAUCAUGGCUUAAAUCUAUAUGGCCCCUGGAUUGGACUGCGGCCGAUCAGGCUGUUGGUGAGGUAAUGGCCCACCAAACCUGUAACCGGUACGGGCUCUGAGAGGAGGAGCCCGGAGAUGGGCACUUAGACAAGGGCCCAGGCCCUAUGGGGCGCAGCAGGCGCGAAACCUCUGCAAUAAGCGAAAGCUUGACAGGGUUACUCUGAGUGAUUUCCGCUAAGGAAGUCUUUUGGCACCUCUAAAAAUGGUGCAGAAUAAGGGGUGGGCAAGUCUGGUGUCAGCCGCCGCGGUAAUACCAGCACCCCGAGUGGUCGGGACGAUUAUUGGGCCUAAAGCAUCCGUAGCCGGUCCUGCAAGUCCUCCGUUAAAUCCACCCGCUCAACGGUUGGGCCGCGGGGGAUACUACAGGGCUAGGAGGCGGGAGAGGCAAGCGGUACUCGAUGGGUAGGGGUAAAAUCCACUGAUCCAUUGAAGACCACCAGUGGCGAAGGCGGCUUGCCAGAACGCGCUCGACGGUGAGGGAUGAAAGCUGGGGGAGCAAACCGGAUUAGAUACCCGGGUAGUCCCAGCUGUAAACGAUGCAGACUCGGUGAUGGGCUGGCUUCGUGCCAACCCGGUGCCGCAGGGAAGCCGUUAAGUCUGCCGCCUGGGGAGUUCGGUCGCAAGACUGAAACUUAAAGGAAUUGGCGGGGGAGCAC
rnacentral:rRNA from 1 species